rnacentral:rRNA from 1 species
GGUGAACGCUGGCGGCGUGCCUAACACAUGCAAGUCGAACGGAGAUUACGGACGGAAGUUUUCGGAUGGAAGACUGUAAUUCUUAGUGGCGGACGGGUGAGUAACGCGUGGGCAACCUGCCCUAUACAGGGGGAUAGCAGCUGGAAACGGCUGGUAAGACCGCAUAAGUCGGCGAGACCGCAUGGUUUUGCCGGGAAAUGAGCAAUCAGGUAUAGGAUGGGCCCGCGUCCGAUUAGCCAGUUGGCAGGGUAAAAGCCUACCAAAGCAACGAUCGGUAGCCGGACUGAGAGGUCGGACGGCCACAUUGGGACUGAGACACGGCCCAAACUCCUACGGGAGGCAGCAGUGGGGGAUAUUGCACAAUGGAGGAAACUCUGAUGCAGCGACGCCGCGUGAGUGAAGAAGUAUUUCGGUAUGUAAAGCUCUAUCAGCAGGGAAGAUGAUGACGGUACCUGACUAAGAAGCCCCGGCUAACUACGUG